rnacentral:rRNA from 1 species
GAUGAACGCUGACAGAAUGCUUAACACAUGCAAGUCUAUGAGAAGAUCUACUUCGGUAGAAGGUAUCAUGGCGGACGGGUGAGUAACGCGUAAAGAACUUGCCUCUUAGACUGGGAUAACAGAUGGAAACGUCUGAUAAGACUAGAUAUAAUAGCGACAUGGCAUCAUGUUGUUAUGAAAGGUAACACUAAGAGAGAGCUUUGCGUCCUAUUAGUUAGUUGGUGAGGUAAUGGCUCACCAAGACGAUGAUAGGUAGCCGGCCUGAGAGGGUGAACGGCCACAAGGGGACUGAGAUACGGCCUUACUCUUACGGGAGGCAGCAGUGGGGAAUAUUGGACAAUGGAGGAAACUCUGAUCCAGCAAUUCUGUGUGCACGAUGAAGGUUUUCGGAUCGUAAAGUGCUUUCAGUAGGGAAGAAGAAAGUGACGGUACCUACAGAAGAAGCGACGGCUAAAUACGUGCCAGCAGCCGCGGUAAAAAGUCUA